rnacentral:misc_RNA from 1 species
UUUCCGUAGGUGAACCUGCGGAAGGAUCAUUAUUGAGCCCUGCCCUCACGGGUAGACCUCCAACCCUGUGUAUUUAUACCUUUUGUUGCUUUGGCGGGCCGCCUCGGCCACCGGCUCCGGCUGGUGCGUGCCCGCCAGAGGACCCCAAACUCUGAAUGUUAGUGUCGUCUGAGUACUAUAUAAUAGUUAAAACUUUCAACAACGGAUCUCUUGGUUCUGGCAUCGAUGAAGAACGCAGC